rnacentral:rRNA from 1 species
AACGAACGCUGGCGGCAUGCCUAACACAUGCAAGUCGAACGAGACCUUCGGGUCUAGUGGCGCACGGGUGCGUAAGGCGUGGGAAGCUGCCCUUAGGUUCGGAAUAACUCCCUGAAGGGGGUGCUAAUACCGGAUAAUGUCUUCGGACCAAAGAUUUAUUGCCUUUGGAUGGGCCCGCGUUGGAUUAGCUAGUUGGUAGGGUAAAAGCAUACCAAGGCGACGAUCCAGAGCUGGUCUGAGAGGAUGAUCAGCCACACUGGGAAUGAGGCACGGCCCAGACUCGUACGGAAGGGAGCAGUGGGGAAUAUUGGACGAGGGGCGAAAGCCUGAUCCAGCAGUGCCGCGUGAGUGGUGAAGGCCUUAGGGUUGUAAAGCUCUUUUAGCCGGGAUGAUAAUGACAGUACCGGGAGAAUAAGCACCGGCUAACUCCGUG